AAAAAGAUAAACCUUAGUUUCCGUGCCCAAUGUUUAACCGUCCGUCUUAUUUGAAAAUUUUUUGAAGAAAAUAAAAAGACAAGUCACGCAUAAAAUAUUAAUCAUGUUUUAUCAUCUAACAACAAUGAAAAUACGAAUUAUAAAAAAAUUUCAUAUAAGACGGACAGUCAAAGUUGGACACGCAAACCCAGGGUUUGCCUUUUU
rfam:Oryza nivara chromosome 5, whole genome shotgun sequence.